rnacentral:autocatalytically_spliced_intron from 1 species
UUCGCACCGAAAAUAAUCGGGGCUAAGUAUAUUACCGAAAUUGAGGGCUUCCAAUUUUUUAAAAUCGGGAGCGGUAGGAGAGUAUUCCACUCAGCGUCGAAGCCAAAGAGGUGACUCAUGGUGGAGCGUGUGGAAGUAAGAAUGUUGGCACAAGUAACCGCAAGGUAGGUGAGAUCCCUACCCGCCGAAAGAUCAAGGUUUCCUGGGCAAUGAUUAUCAUCCCAGGGU